rnacentral:rRNA from 1 species
AUGGCGGCGUUCGGCGGCAACGGGUGCUGCUACUCGUCGGGGUCGGAGGACGAGGAGGAGGAGGGGGCCGAGGGGUACCGGAAGGGCGGCUACCACGCCGCGCGCCCCGGGGACCGCUUCGCCGGCGGCAGGUUCGUCGCGCAGCGGAAGCUCGGCUGGGGCAACUUCUCCACCGUCUGGCUCGCCUACGACACCCUCCUCAGCAGAUUCGUGGCGCUCAAGAUCCAGAAGAGCGCGAGGGACUACGCGCACGCCGCGCUCCACGAGAUCGAGCUGCUGUCCGCGGCGGCCAAGGGCGACCCCACCAAUUCCAAGUGCGUCAUCCAGCUGCUGGACCAUUUCAAGCACGCCGGCCCCAACGGCAAGCACAUUUGCCUGGUCACCGAGUUCCUCGGCGACAGCCUGCUGCGGCUCAUACGGUACAACCGGAACAAGGGCAUCGGGCUGAGCAGGGUGCGGGAGAUUUGCCGGUCGGUGCUGACCGGCCUCGAUUACAUGCACAGAGAGCUCGGCAUUAUCCACACCGAUUUGAAGCCGGAGAAUGUCCUCCUAGUGUCGACGAUAAACCCGUCCAAGGACCCCGUGCGCUCGAGGCUCACCCCGAUUCUCAAGAGGCCAGAGGGGAACCAGUACCGCACGCCGUCAAUCAGUUUCAGCGAGAAGAUGCUUAAGACGCGGGCGAGGCGCGCCGUGGCGAAGAUUCUGCAGAGGCGGGUGUCGCUCGGUGGGUUCACGGCAGACAUGGUUAAGGAGAGAAGCCUGGAUGGCAUUAGCAUGAAGUGCAAGAUUGUCGAUUUCGGGAAUGCCUGCUGGGCUGAUCAGCAGGGUGAUGGUGUGAUACAGACAAGGCAGUAUAGGGCACCCGAGGUUAUCAUCGGUUCUGGCUAUUCUUAUUCUGCCGAUAUGUGGUCGUUCGCCUGUAUAGCGUUUGAGCUUGCCACUGGUGACAUGCUGUUUGCUCCCAGCACUUGCCAAAGUUGCAGUGAAGAUGAGGAUCACCUGGCUCUGAUGAUGGAAACCCUCGGAAAGAUGCCCAAGAAGAUUGCCACCUCAGGCACCCGUUCCAAGGAUUACUUCAACCGGUACGGAGACCUGAAGAGGGUCAAAAGAAUGAGGUUCUGGCCUCUAGAACGCGUGCUAGUCGAGAGGUACGGCUUCACCGAGCCGGACGCCAAAGGGCUCGCCGACUUCCUCCGCCCGAUUCUCGAUUUUGAUCCGGAGAACAGGCCGACCGCCGCCGAGUGCCUGAAGCACGCAUGGCUCAACAACUGA